rnacentral:rRNA from 1 species
CCUACGGGGCGCAGCAGUGAGGAAUAUUGGUCAAUGGGCGUAAGCCUGAACCAGCCAAGUCGCGUGAGGGAUGAAGGUUCUAUGGAUCGUAAACCUCUUUUAUAAGGGAAUAAAGUGUGGGACGUGUCCUGUUUUGUAUGUACCUUAUGAAUAAGGAUCGGCUAACUCCGUGCCAGCAGCCGCGGUAAUACGGAGGAUCCGAGCGUUAUCCGGAUUUAUUGGGUUUAAAGGGUGCGUAGGCGGCAUUUUAAGUCAGCGGUGAAAGUCUGUGGCUCAACCAUAGAAUUGCCGUUGAAACUGGGAGGCUUGAGUAUGUUUGAGGCAGGCGGAAUGCGUGGUGUAGCGGUGAAAUGCUUAGAUAUCACGCAGAACCCCGAUUGCGAAGGCAGCCUGCCAAGCCAUGACUGACGCUGAUGCACGAAAGCGUGGGGAUCAAACAGGAUUAGAUACCCGGGUAGUC